GGUACCAGGAUGAUCUUCAGAUUCUCGUGACCUCGCCACUAGUCGUAGUAAUACAAACAUACAUGGUAUAGGCAAAAUCAACAUUACAUCAAACAUAAGAACAACUGCAUAAUAAUAUUCUACGCGUUGUUACGAGAUCGUAGAAACAAGAACCACUAAAUUCGGAGCUACAGUUAUUAAGUUAGAAAUUUCUGAAGUUAUUUAAUACCUAGAAUAGAGUUAUUCAUGUGAAUAAUUUUAAAUCAAGUUUCAUGGUUAGACAAAGGUACUAGGUAAUAAACAAUACUUAAACAAAAUUAAUGCCACUGGAAUGAAUCAAUUUGGAGCUAAAAUGAUUUAACUAUGAAUUUUCUAAGUUCUCAAGUAUUUUUGAUAUUGUUCUUAUACAAAAAUAAAUUUCCAGAAUUAAUUUAAUAAGGAAAUAAGAUCUCUUGGGCUGCGGCAACCAUUCUCCAAAAGGUCAAGGGUCUAUUUGCAAAAACCUGGACCCGUCUGUGAUGUUCUUUGAAUAUGUGUGGACGGCGGGUUAAUUACGAAAAAGAGCAGGGGCUCUUUAGAAAAACGACCAGGGCCGAAGGGGUACGAGCGCAGCACAGCCGAGCGAUCAAGAUCUAACAGCUCAAAUUAAAUCGUGUCUUAUAUGAACCCGUACGCAAUCGAGACCGUAGGAUCUAGGAUUGACCGUCUAGAUUUUGAACACCAAGAUCUGCUCCAAACCGUCCGAUCCUAUUCCUAUGGCCCAGAUCUUAUGCUCGAAGGGUUAUGAUUCCGAUUUAAUCUCCCACGUCCGUUCACAAUCAAACGGCAGGGAGCCUUUCUCCACGCACCCGACGCAGCCGACGAUGGCGCCGCCCCUACCGCGGCUGACCACCCACCGGAGCCACGCGGCACGGCCGAUCUGGGCUCCCACGACAUCAAUCGCAGGUCCUACGCACAAUUCGGACGAUGGCGAAACAGACAAGGGACUCACCGAAGGCAGAGACGGCGACUAGGGAGUGGUCCACGGCACCAGGCGAACCUGCGGCGGCUAGUUAACUGCGGCGAGAAAUUCCCCGCAACUCCGACGCACACCGCACGCGCAUAUCCUUUGAAAACGCUCCACGUUCUCCGGUGAAGCUCCUAUGCUAUCAGCUUGGUUUGGGAUUGACAGCGCACGAGCAAUAGCCCCACGGCGCCGAGCUCGGGUCCUUCCUGCCCUCUCUAUCUCUCGGCGAUGAGUCUCCCUUUUCUCCCCUUGGCGUAUGGCUU
rnacentral:lncRNA from 1 species